rnacentral:rRNA from 1 species
CUCCAGACUCCUACGGGAGGCAGCAGUGGGGAAUAUUGCACAAUGGGCGCAAGCCUGAUGCAGCCAUGCCGCGUGCAUGAAGAAGGCCUUCGGGUUGUAAAGUACUUUCAGCGGGGAGGAAGGCGAUAAGGUUAAUAACCUUGUCGAUUGACGUUACCCGCAGAAGAAGCACCGGCUAACUCCGUGCCAGCAGCCGCGGUAAUACGGAGGGUGCAAGCGUUAAUCGGAAUUACUGGGCGUAAAGCGCACGCAGGCGGUCUGUCAAGUCGGAUGUGAAAACCCCGGGCUCAACCUGGGGACUGCAUUCGGAACUGGCAGGGUGGAGUUUUGUAGAGGGGGGGAGAAUUCCAGGUGGAGCGGUGAAAUGCGUAGAGAUCUGGAGGAAUACCGGUGGCGAAGGCGGGCCCCUGGACGAAGACUG